GGGGCCGAACCAGGAUCGACGUGUAUUCAAAGACGAUGUUUUUGCCCGGCCUGAAUGCGCCGUUAAACCGUUCGAACCUACAAGUGCCAACGAUAACGAGGCGCUCGCGAUUGCCGCGUAACUGAGUCCUAACGGACGACGUUACAAGGCUUAAGCGCGGUUCGGUCCGCACCGGGCAACAGAAGCGGAAUCCAGCGGUUCGGGGAGCACCGGGCAACAGAAGCUCCCCACU
rnacentral:tmRNA from 3 species